rnacentral:rRNA from 1 species
GACGAACCGUGCGAACGUUGUUCGGAAUCACUGGGCUUAAAGGGCGCGUAGGCGGGCCACCAAGUCCGGGGUGAAAGCUUCUGGCUUAACCGGAAAAGGGCCUUGGAUACUGGUGGUCUGGAGGGAGGUAGGGGUCUGCGGAACUGCUGGUGGAGCGGUGAAAUGCGUUGAUAUCAGCAGGAACGCCGGUGGCGAAAGCGGCGGACUGGACCUCUUCUGACGCUGAGGCGCGAAAGCCAGGGGAGCAAACGGG